GUGCUUGCUUUGGCAGUACGUAUUCUCAAACUGGAAUGAUACAGAGAUUAGCAUCGCCCCUGCACAAGGAUGACACGCAAAUUGAUGAAGCAUUUCACAUUUUG